GACGAACGCUGGCGGCGUGCUUAACACAUGCAAGUCUACGGGAAAAGGGGUAGCAAUACUCCUGAGUAUAGUGGCGCACGGGUGAGUAAUAUGUAAGUAAUCUGCCUAUAGAAUUGGAAUAACGACGAGAAAUCGUCGCUAAUACCGAAUGAUGCAGCGGCACCGCAUGGUGAUGUUGUUAAAGUUGCAGCAAUGUAAUGUCUAUAGAUGAGCUUGCAUCUGAUUAGCUAGUUGGUAGGGUAAAGGCCUACCAAGGCAACGAUCAGUAGCUGGUCUGAGAGGAUGAUCAGCCACACUGGAACUGAGACACGGUCCAGACUCCUACGGGAGGCAGCAGUGAGGAAUAUUGGGCAAUGCCCGCAAGGGUGACCCAGCAACGCCGCGUGGAGGAUGAAUGCCGUAAGGUUGUAAACUCCUGUGAGAAGGGAUGAAAGCCCAUGAUUCGUAAGGGUCAUGGUUUGACCGUACCUUCAGAGGAAACCCCGGCUAACUACGUGCCA
rnacentral:rRNA from 1 species